GUGGGAAAAGCUCAUGUGGUAGAGCAUCGGUUUCUUAACUCAAAGGUCGUGGGUUCGAUCCCCGAUUAUUCGCA